AAAAUGGUGGUUUAAAUCAGAGUGCGCAGCGAAAGCAUAGUGGUCUAAACUAUUUUUCUAAGUUGGUCAGAAGUAUUAUCCCUUUAAUUUGGCAAGUUUUAAUAACAAAAGACUUGAUUUGAUUUUGAAUUUUUAGAUGUCGCUGCACUAUCUUAGGUUCUCUAAUUUUAUGUCAUGCUAAGGAAAUGCUUAACAUCUUGAGACUAGAAUUAAUAGAUCAUCGAUUUUGAUUUUGGAUCUGGAAUAUUUUGGUGUAGACCUAUUUCCUCCUAAAUCUGAAGCUUGUACUUCUUCAAUUAAUAUCAACCCUCUAUUUGAAAGAACUUGAGGUUGUCAAGUGACUUUGAUGAAUAUUCCACUAGGGGUCGAUUAAUCAAGAGUAGUUGAUAUUUUGACAAAGAAACUUGAUGUUCUUAUUCAAAAUUAAGACGUUGAUUUUUAUUUAUGAGAGAGAGAAGUUUGAUUUACAUCAUCUA